rnacentral:rRNA from 1 species
UCGAGGGGCAGCAUGAACUUAGCUUGCUAAGUUUGAUGGCGACCGGCGCACGGGUGAGUAACAUGUAUCCAACCUGCCGAUGACUCGGGGAUAGCCUUUCGAAAGAAAGAUUAAUACCCGAUGGCAUAGUUCUUCCGCAUGGUAGAACUAUUAAAGAAUUUCGGUCAUCGAUGGGGAUGCGUUCCAUUAGGUUGUUGGCGGGGUAACGGCCCACCAAGCCUUCGAUGGAUAGGGGUUCUGAGAGGAAGGUCCCCCACAUUGGAACUGAGACACGGUCCAAACUCCUACGGGAGGCAGCAGUGAGGAAUAUUGGUCAAUGGACGAGAGUCUGAACCAGCCAAGUAGCGUGAAGGAUGACUGCCCUAUGGGUUGUAAACUUCUUUUAUACGGGAAUAAAGUGAGGCACGCGUGCCUUUUUGUAUGUACCGUAUGAAUAAGGAUCGGCUAACUCCGUGCCAGCAGCCGCGGUAAUACGGAGGAUCCGAGCGUUAUCCGGAUUUAUUGGGUUUAAAGGGAGCGUAGGCGGACGCUUAAGUCAGUUGUGAAAGUUUGCGGCUCAACCGUAAAAUUGCAGUUGAUACUGGGUGUCUUGAGUACAGUAGAGGCAGGCGGAAUUCGUGGUGUAGCGGUGAAAUGCUUAGAUAUCACGAAGAACUCCGAUUGCGAAGGCAGCCUGCUGGACUGUAACUGACGCUGAUGCUCGAAAGUGUGGGUAUCAAAC